AGCGGAUUUGAAUCUUUUGGGUGUAGAAGUGGUGAGCAGAGCAUAAAGAAGAGAAGAUGGUUGGUAGGUGGUAAUGUCAGCAAAAUGACGAGGCCUAAAAAUACCUGAUUUGGCGCGUGUGACCAUAAGAUGAGUAGACUGGACACUACGGUGUAUUUGUGGUUGAGUAUCAGGCAUGGAAACAGCAGUUGAAGGAGUAUCUUCAGCAGAACAU
rnacentral:lncRNA from 1 species